CCAAUAGCGUAUAUUAGUGUUGUUGCGGUUAAAAAGCUCGUAGUUGAAUUUCGGGAUUGGGAUAUAUCGGUCGUGCCUUCAGGGGCAUGAAUUGGUGUAUGGUCAAUUCUCACAUUCUGGUGAAUUGGAAUGCUUUCGGGUGUUUUGAUGAACUAGGACAUUUACUUUGAAAAAAUUAGAGUGUUUAAAGCGGGCAUUUUUGCUUGAAUACAUUAGCAUGGAAUAAUAAAAUAGGACGAUGGUUCUAUUUUGUUGGUUUUAGGACCACGUAAUGAUUAAUAGGGUUAGUUGGGGGCAUUAGUAUUCAAUUGUCAGAGGUGAAAUUCUUGGAUUAAUUGAGGACUAACUACUGCGAAAGCAUUUGCCAAGGAUGUUUUCAUUAAUCAAGAACGAAAGUUAAGGGAUCAAAGACGAUUUAUGUACGUCGUAGUCUUAACCAUAAAUUAUGCCGACUAGGAAUCAGACAAAGUUAAUUUUUUAACGACUUGUUUGGCACCUUACG
rnacentral:rRNA from 1 species